ensembl:lncRNA
UCUGAAUAUUUUUAUUUGAUUUUUAAUUUUUCAACUAUAUCUGCUGUAUAUAGGUCUCGUAAAAAUGGAUUUUUUUGUUGCUGCUGUUGGGAAUUAAGAAAAAGCUGAGAUGCUUGUUUGGGUCAGUUAAUGCUACAGAAGAGGGACAAUGUGUGGAACAAGAAGAGAGACUCACAGUAGCAGGAGGUCAGAGGCAACUGUGAAAACGGGAGAGCCUGGGAUAUUCAGAGAACUUGGUGAGGAUGUUACUUAGGCAGGCUGGAAACAGACUUCAGCCCAUUUUGUCUAGCUCUCCAGAUGGAAAGCUACAACUGAGAGGCAGGAGUGUGAGUUCUGCAUCUUGAGCUGCAUGUAGUACAGUGCUGGCGCCUAGGAAGUGCUUUAAUACGCUGCGGCUUCUCAGGGAGUCACGAGGAUACCUGCCCCAGAGCUAUUAAGUUCCCUGAGAAUGGCGUGGAAAAUUUAGGUGAAAAAAACAGAUGAUGAGUCCUCAUUUUGAACUUUAAGCAAGGGUUGGGAGCAUAUGGCUCCGUUACAGGAAUGUCAGCAUUUCAUGAAGACAUACUUGGCGUUGUGCAUUGCAGCAGUGUAAUAUCUGGAAGAGCUUACGUGUGCAAAAGUCGUGACAUGAUCAAACGCACUGUGUCACGCCCGUGCCGUGGGUUAAGGGGCCGUGCCCGUCAGAAAGCAGCUUGUGGAACGCUGGUCUUUCCUGUGUGAUGUCUGAAGGUGGCCUGUGCAGAGCUGAGGUAGGUGGUGAACUGCUUCAUCCGGGGCCGGCGGGGCAGGGUGAAGGGUUCCUCGUCACUUACAUGUCAUCUUCUUUCACGCAGCGCCAUCCUGACGGGCCCUACAACAACUCCUUCUGGAUGUUCAAUAGGUCCACCCAGAGGAUUGAGAUGCUGGAGGCCUCCAGGGUGAACAGCAGGCCUCGGGCCAGCCUGCAGCCUCGCAGGGUCUGAGCCUGCCUUCCAGAUUAGAGACCAGACAUCCACACCCAAGAGAGGAGUCGUCAGGUGCAACCUCUCCUGCCAGCCCUCCUCAUCCUCUGCCGUCACCCGGGCCUCCACCCACAUGGCUGCAUCUGCCACCUACCUGCCAGCCUUGGUGGCUCUGCGCUCGGCUUGGCCCCGGGCAGCUGCACUCCGCCACUCCUGUGUCCACCGUCACCCCUUCUGGGGCAGCUGCUUAAUAAAAGCAACACACUGUGAAGAGGGUUUUUAAGU